rfam:Populus trichocarpa scaffold_25_contig_12, whole genome shotgun sequence.
UGCCAGUGAUGCAAUCAUAAUUCACGUAUUAUCAGAUAUGAAGAUGAUGAUGAUACAUGAUUGUCACUACCUCUGAGGCA